CCUUGCUCACGACAUGUUGCCCCUCUGUCAGAUUUUUUACUUCGACCAGCUCGCGCCUUUUCCCAACGUGGUUCAUGAGGUGGCAGGUGGAAUAUUCAAAAAGAGCCUGGCUUCUGGAAUCAGACAGCUUUGCAUUUGAGUCCUGACGGCAUGACCUUAGGAAAGGUACUUAAGCUUUCUCCAGUUUCCUCAACUGUGACAUCGUGAGGACCUCCUAUGCCCCUGAAGGACCGAAUUAAGCCAAACACACAAAGGCACCUGGCCACGGGACUUGAUCUUUUCCCGAACUUUCUCCUUGGCAUUUGGACGUGGGCUGCCUGGCAUCCUUUCGGGCUUGGCUAACCACUUUGGCCCCAGAGUUUCCUAUUGCCUCAGAUAUUAUUUUAAAGUAAUCUCUACACCCAACUUGGGGCUCUGACUCACAACCCCCAGAUCAAGAGUGGCCUGCUCUACUGACUGAGCCAGCCAGGCAUCCCAACUGUUCUACUUUCCAUCUCUGGUGGGUACAGUCCUAUUUAAAAAUGACGUGGCUAAAACAUGACUUUGCAUCAGAUUUUCUCUGAAGCCUUUUCUAUCAGAAAAGCAAAACCACAUUGUUUUCUUCUUCCAUGCUCAGUAUAGAAAAAUCAGAAAGUACAAACAAA